rnacentral:rRNA from 1 species
AAUUUUGGGCAAUGGGGGAAACCCUGACCCAGCAACGCCGCGUGGGGGAUGACGGCCUUCGGGUUGUAAACCCCUUUUCCCAGGGAAGAUUGUGACGGUACCUGGGGAAGAAGUCCCGGCUAACUACGUGCCAGCAGCCGCGGUAAUACGUAGGGGGCAAGCGUUGUCCGGAUUUAUUGGGCGUAAAGCGCGCGCAGGCGGCUCGCCAAGUCGGUCGUGAAGUCUCUCGGCUCAACCGGGAGGGGUCGGGCGAAACUGGCGAGCUUGAGGUCGGUAGGGGAAAGCGGAAUUCCCGGUGUAGUGGUGGAAUGCGUAGAUAUCGGGAGGAACACCAGUGGCGAAGGCGGCUUUCUGGACCGAAACUGACGCUGAGGCGCGAAAGCGUGGGGAGCGAUC